CUACAAAUGAAUUGACGGGUCCCGCACAAGCAGCGGAGCGUGUGGUUUAAUUCGAUGCUACACGAAGAACCUUACCUGGGUUUGACAUAGAGGUAGUAGGAAGCGAAAGCGGACCGACCCUUCGGGGAGCCUCUACAGGUGUUGCAUGGCUGUCGUCAGCUCGUGUCGUGAGAUGUUCGGUUAAGUCCGCUAACGAGCGCAACCCUCGCUGUGUGUUACAAGUGUCACACGGUACUGCCGAUAUUAAGUCGGAGGAAGGUGGGGAUGACGUCAAGUCAGCAUGACCUUUAUAUCCAGGGCUACACACACGCUACAAUGGCCAGUACAAUGGGUUGCCAAGCCGCGAGGCGGAGCCAAUCCUAAAAAGCUGGCCUCAGUUCAGAUUGCAGUCUGCAACUCGACUGCAUGAAGUUGGAGUUGCUAGUAACCGCAGGUCAGCAAUACUGCGGUGAAUACGUUCCCGGGGAUU
rnacentral:rRNA from 1 species